rnacentral:rRNA from 1 species
AUGGAGGCCUUUGGGCUGUAAACCUCUUUUCUCAAGGAAGAAGAUCUGACGGUACUUGAGGAAUAAGCCACGGCUAAUUCCGUGCCAGCAGCCGCGGUAAUACGGGAGUGGCAAGCGUUAUCCGGAAUUAUUGGGCGUAAAGCGUCCGCAGGCGGCCGUUUAAGUCUGUUGUUAAAUCGUGGAGCUCAACUCCAUCACGGCAAUGGAAACUGUUCGGCUUGAGUAUGGUAGGGGCAGAGGGAAUUUCCGGUGUAGCGGUGAAAUGCGUAGAUAUCGGGAAGAACACCAGUGGCAAAAGCGCUCUGCUGGGCCAUUACUGACGCUCAUGGACGAAAGCCAGGGGAGCGAAAGGGAUUAGAUACCCCUGUAGUCCUGGCCGUAAACGAUGAACACUAGGUGUUGGGGGAAUCGACCCCUUCGGUGCCGUAGCUAACGCGUUAAGUGUUCCGCCUGGGGAGUACGCACGCAAGUGUGAAACUCAAAGGAAUUGACGGGGGCCCGCACAAGCGGUGGAGUAUGUGGUUUAAUUCGAUGCAACGCGAAGAACCUUACCAAGGAUUGACAUCCUGCGAAUCUCUGAGAAAUCGGAGAGUGCCUUCGGUAACGCAGUGACAGGUGGUGCAUGGCUGUCGUCAGCUCGUGUCGUGAGAUGUUGGGUUAAGUCCCGCAACGAGCGCAACCCACGUUUUUAGUUGCCAGCAUUCAGUUGGGCACUCUAGAAAGACUGCCGGUGACAAACCGGAGGAAGGUGUGGACGACGUCAAGUCAUCAUGCCCCCUACGCC